rnacentral:misc_RNA from 1 species
UCUCCGUUGGUGAACCAGCGGAGGGAUCAUUACCGAGUUAUCAACUCCCAAACCCCUGUGAACAUACCCAACGUUGCUUCGGCGGGACCGCCCCGGCGCCCUCGGCGUCCCGGAACCAGGCGCCCGCCGGAGGACCCAAACUCUUGUUUAAACCAUAGUGGCAUAUUCUGAGUCUCACAAGAAAAAUGAAUCAAAACUUUCAACAACGGAUCUCUUGGUUCUG